rnacentral:lncRNA from 1 species
CAGGUUCUUCCCUCUCUGUCUCUGCUAUUGAUUACGGUGUGAUGGAUUUUGUGGUGGAGAGAUUGUAAAUUUCAAGACCAGACUGACAUUUGAAAUAUUUUUCAAAUUGAAUUUCAGAUGUAUUUUCAAAAGUACUCAACUAAGCAUGGUCACAGAAUUAUACCAUCCGGAACUAGGUGAAUGAGUGAUUUGUGGAAGGUAUGCAGUGCCUUUUGCCGUAAAUCCUGUCACCUUACACUCUUCAUUGUCUCAGCAAGAAUGAAUGUGUCUACUAUUGCAGUGCUGCUGCUGUGAACUGGAAGUCUCUCAGACCAAAGGUUCCCUAAGCUCCUUUUUGCUAUGUAAAUGUGAAAAUCCAAACCUUAGCAAUGGAUUGGAAGCGCUGAUUCUCCUAAAGUCCCCUAAGCAAACCGAACACUGAGCUGCCAUGUCAAGCCCCUUAAGUCAUUUAAAGGAAUUUGGGAAUUCAGCACACUUGAGGUAAUUUCCUGGCUAUUCAUCUAUAAUGUCUACAGCCCGUUCCAAUUUUUGACACACAGAUAUAUUAUAACCAACCCUGAUCCGCCUGCAUAAAUAGUAAACUCUCUUGAAAACGUAAAAUGUGAAGAAAUGGGCUUUCUUAGUACUGUUAGAAAGGAAGAUAAAUCAUAUUGAACUUGAAAUAACAGAUGAUCCGAUCUUCAGUGCCUGAAUACCUGUGCGUUUUUAUCUAAGAACUGAAUGCAAAGCAUGUUGAUAAUGCAACAGUGUUAAUUCUUGAAAUUAUUACAAUGUUUGCCAAAUAACUAAACACUUGAAGCAGUCC